CUUGGCCACGGGGGGCAGCAGUGAGGAAUAUUGGUCAAUGGGCUUACGCCUGAACCAGCCAAGUCGCGUGAGGGAAGACUGCCCUAUGGGUUGUAAACCUCUUUUGUCAGGGAGCAACGCCGGCUACGUGUAGCCGGACUGAGAGUACCUGAAGAAAAAGCAUCGGCUAACUCCGUGCCAGCAGCCGCGGAAAUACGGAGGAUGCGAGCGUUAUCCGGAUUUAUUGGGUUUAAAGGGUGCGUAGGCGGGAUGCCCAGUCAGCGGUAAAAUCGCGGGGCUC
rnacentral:rRNA from 1 species